rnacentral:rRNA from 1 species
AACGAACGCUGGCGGCAUGCCUAACACAUGCAAGUCGAACGAUGCUUUCGGGCAUAGUGGCGCACGGGUGCGUAACGCGUGGGAAUCUGCCCUUGGGUUCGGAAUAACAGUGAGAAAUUGCUGCUAAUACCGGAUGAUGUCUUCGGACCAAAGAUUUAUCGCCCAGGGAUGAGCCCGCGUAGGAUUAGCUAGUUGGUGGGGUAAUGGCCUACCAAGGCGACGAUCCUUAGCUGGUCUAAGAGGAUGAUCAGCCACACUGGGACUGAGACACGGCCCAGACUCCUACGGGAGGCAGCAGUGGGGAAUAUUGGACAAUGGGCGCAAGCCUGAUCCAGCAAUGCCGCGUGAGUGAUGAAGGCCUUAGGGUUGUAAAGCUCUUUUACCCGGGAUGAUAAUGACAGUACCGGGAGAAUAAGCUCCGGCUAACUCCGUG